GAUGAACGCUAGCGGCAGGCCUAACACAUGCAAGUCGAGGGAGAAGCCCUUCGGGGCGGAAACCGGCGCACGGGUGCGUAACGCGUAUGCAACCUACCUUUCACAGGGGGAUAGCCCGAAGAAAUUUGGAUUAAUACCCCAUAAUAUUAUUGGAUGGCAUCAUUUGAUAAUUAAAAUUACGAUGGUGAAAGAUGGGCAUGCGUCCUAUUAGCUAGUUGGAGUGGUAACGGCACCCCAAGGCUACGAUAGGUAGGGGUCCUGAGAGGGAGAUCCCCCACACUGGUACUGAGACAGGGACCAGACUCCUACGGGAGGCAGCAGUGAGGAAUAUUGGUCAAUGGUCGGAAGACUGAACCAGCCAUGCCGCGUGCAGGAAGAAUGCCUUAUGGGUUGUAAACUGCUUUUAUAUGGGAAGAAUAAGG
rnacentral:rRNA from 1 species